rnacentral:rRNA from 1 species
GAUGAACGCUGGCGACGUGCUUAACACAUGCAAGUCGAACGAUGAAGCUGGAGCUUGCUCUGGUGGAUUAGUGGCGAACGGGUGAGUAACACGUGAGCAACCUGCCCCUGACUCUGGGAUAACAUCCGGAAACGGCUGCUAAUACCGGAUAUGCACCAUGAACGCAUGUUCUGUGGUGGGAAAGAUUUUUCGGUUGGGGAUGGGCUCGCGGCCUAUCAGCUUGUUGGUGAGGUAAUGGCUCACCAAGGCGUCGACGGGUAGCCGGCCUGAGAGGGUGACCGGCCACACUGGGACUGAGACACGGCCCAGACUCCUACGGGAGGCAGCAGUGGGGAAUAUUGCACAAUGGGCGAAAGCCUGAUGCAGCAACGCCGCGUGAGGGAUGACGGCCUUCGGGUUGUAAACCUCUUUUAGCAGGGAAGAAGCGAGAGUGACGGUACCUGCAGAAAAAGCGCCGGCUAACUACGUG